rnacentral:rRNA from 2 species
ACAACGCUUAAAAGAUGGCUUCUUGCUAUCACUUCUGGAUGGACCUGCGGUGCAUUAGCUUGUUGGUGGGGUAACGGCCUACCAAGGCGAUGAUGCAUAGCCGAGUUGAGAGACUGAUCGGCCACAAUGGGACUGAGACACGGCCCAUACUCCUACGGGAGGCAGCAGUAGGGAAUCUUCCACAAUGGGCGCAAGCCUGACUGAGCAACACCGCGUGAGUGAAGAAGGGUUUCGGCUCGUAAAGCUCUGUUGUUAAAGAAGAACACGUAUGAGAGUAACUGUUCAUACGUUGACGUAUUAACCAGAAAUCACGC